rnacentral:rRNA from 1 species
UACGGAGGGUGCAAGCGUUAUCCGGAUUCACUGGGUUUAAAGGGUGCGUAGGUGGGUUGAUAAGUCAGUGGUGAAAUCCCCGAGCUUAACUUGGGAACUGCCAUUGAUACUAUUGAUCUUGAAUACCGUGGAGGUCAGCGGAAUAUGUCAUGUAGCGGUGAAGUGCUUAGAUAUGACAUAGAACACCAAUUGCGAAGGCAGCUGGCUACGCGAAUAUUGACACUGAUGCACGAAAGCGUGGGGAUCAAACAGG